rnacentral:lncRNA from 1 species
UAGGCCAGCAACUGCAGCUCUGAUUAGACCCCUAGCCUGGGAACUUCCAUAUCCAUGGGUUCAUCCAAAAAAAAAAAAAAUUAGAGCCCCUCUGUGGCUGUGUUGUAGAGCCCCUCUAGUUGGUAAACCCUAAACUCAGCAUCUGGGCCUUAAAGCUAGUUCAUCCCAAUCUAAGUAUUCAGACCUCCCCCCUCCCUAAUUAAGCCAACUCUAAACCAAGCAUCUAGGUCCUCCAAGUUCUGAGCCUCCAUGUCAGGCACCCCUUAACUAGGUACCUCAGUCAUCUGCCUCAGACAUCCCCAUACUAUGCAACUCCAAACUCCAUCAGCCCUAAACCGGGCAGAAGGAAGUCCAGCGACAGUCACCUCAAACCUUGGCAACUAGGCCUUGAGGCUCAGUGAGCCCCCAAAUGUAUAUAAAUAUUAGGAACUCUUAGUAACUCCCACUAAGCAACCAGCACCCUUCAGAUGCCCCCCAAAACUAGGCUUCUGAUACGCAGGAAAGACAGUCCCUCCCCACCUCCCAGGUAUGCAUCUGAAGACACAGUCCCCUGCGUUGCCAAACUUGACAUUGGGGCCCCAGCUGUCAUCCCAAACCAGCAUUUGGACUCCUAGUUGGUCAUGUCAACCUCAGCAUCUGGGCAGCCCAUAAACUGGACAUCUGAGUAGCUGACCCAGAACCUCCCACUGGGCACCAGGAGUUUAUUUUAGGAUGACCUUGAGAGUCAGCUCCACAUGCCUGUUUGAGGGUUCUUCGCUUGAUUUUCCUACUUUUGGGGUCAUGGCCUAUGAGACGCUAAUGGGUUUCUGGCCGAUUCUUUUGGGGGAAAUCAGACUGGGGCCCAGAAGCGCUAAAGAACCUCAUGCCCGGGUUUGGGGAUCCCAGCCCCAAUGCUGCUACCCCAAGGCCAGACUCCUCCUGUGGAUCUUCGCAGGGGUAACCCACUUCUGGGGUGAGUGGUUUGGGGGUCACACUCUUGGCAUCUGUGGUUCCUGAGGGGACUGAGGGGGGCCGGGUGGGGCGGGAGUUGGGGCGCUGCGUCACAGAGCCGGGCUGCGGCCCCCGGGGCUGGCUGUGGCGGGGGUUCCCGCGGGAAGCAGAUCGCAGC